rnacentral:rRNA from 1 species
AGAGGGUGCAAGCGUUAAUCGGAAUUAUUGGGCGUAAAGCGCGCGUAGGUGGAUAGAUAAGUUGGAUGUGAAAGUCCCGGGGCUUAACCUGGGAAGGUCAUUCAAAACUGUCUGUCUAGAGUAUGAUAGAGGGAAGUGGAAUUUCCGGUGUAGCGGUGAAAUGCGUAGAUAUCGGAAGGAACACCAGUGGCGAAGGCGACUUCCUGGAUCAUUACUGACACUGAGGCGCGAAAGCGUGGGGAGCGAACAGGAUUGGAUACCCUGGUAGUCCACGCCGUAAACGAUGAGAACUAGCCGUUGGGCGUCUUAGAACGCUCAGUGGCGCAGCUAACGCGAUAAGUUCUCCGCCUGGGGAGUACGGCCGCAAGGUUA